AAAUAUUUUUGUGCUUUUUAUUUCUCUACAGAUCUUGAGAUGGCCAUUGCCUACUGGAAUCUUAUUUUUACUGGUCGCUUCAAAUUGUUGGACUUGUGGUGUGAAUUUUUAAGAUCUCAUUAUAAAAGAGCUGGCAAUACCCAAAGACACUUGGAACCUUCUGCUAGAGUUUUCUAACAGGAUUGAUGACACCAUGAGCAAUUAUGAUGAAGAUGAAAUGUUCAGCUAAUGGUACAGGAUGUGGUGUAUGUCAUUCAAGGGAUCUGUUGUUCAGGUUUAGUGAAGAUGUGGUUACAUGUCCUAACUGCUCCUCACACUUUCACUGGUAAAUACAUGUACAUGUACAUAAUGGACAUUUGAUGUGUCUAAACUUUGUGCUUCAUAAAUCAGUUUUUAAAUAGCUACCUAAUGCAAUUAAAAUUAUCCAAACUAGCAUGCUUCUGGUAAUUUGAAGUUGUG
rnacentral:lncRNA from 1 species